AGUUUGUUUACCUUUCUGCGUUUGUGAUUAUGGGUCUUUGGUUGAGACCCUCCCACUCCAGUUUCAUGCUCUUAUUUCAUUAUCAUAUUUCUAAUAUUCAUAGGACUGCAGACAUGGUGUACAACCUCUGUCUCUCCGUUCCUUUGGAAUAUUGAGGAGUCUUUGGAACUCGCGUUUACUUCUGAAGUUCUGGCAUUAGGGCAUGUGUAGCUAGCAAACCUUCACGUGGGCUUGAUCAUCUUCUGUUGUUGUUGGAUGAGCCAUACUCAUAGCCAAUGUCAUCGCCGAUCGCAUCAUUUCGCAUGUCAUGACGGCGGUGCAGAUAAUCCCAAGCUGAUAAAAAUCAACCAGUCUAAGUUAGUUCUCUUGGUUGGGGAGUUAUUUGGGUGGUAACGAAGCAGUGGACCAGGCAAUCAAUUGAGCACACCAUUGAGACAUGGAUCGACCUCCACUGAUUGACGGAGCUGUGCUGACUUAGAUUGACACCAUUGAUGAUAAAGUGAUGGCAGAUCUACCAGCUCACUUCACAUCAGAGAGCUCU